AACGAACGCUGGCGGCAGGCCUAACACAUGCAAGUCGAACGCCCCGCAAGGGGAGUGGCGCACGGGUGAGUAACGCGUGGGAAUAUGCCCUUCGGUUCGGAAUAACACAGGGAAACUUGUGCUAAUACCGGAUACGAUCUACGGAGGAAAGAUUUAUCGCCGAGGGAGUAGCGCGGGUAGGAUUAGCUAGUUGGUGAGGUAUUGGCUCACCAAGGCGACGAUCCUUAGCUGGUCUGAGAGGAUGAUCAGCCACACUGGGACUGAGACACGGCCCAGACUCCUACGGGAGGCAGCAGUGGGGAAUAUUGGACAAUGAGCGAAAGCCUGAUCCAGCCAUGCCGCGUGAGUGAUGAAGGCCUUAGGGUUGUAAAGCUCUUUCGCCAGGGAAGAUAAUGACGGUACCUGGAAAAGAAGCCUCGGCUAACUCCGUGCCAGCCGCCGCCGUAA
rnacentral:rRNA from 1 species